UACGAAGGGUGCUAGCGUUGUUCGGAAUUACUGGGCGUAAAGCGCACGUAGGCGGCUCGAUCAGUCAGGGGUGAAAUCCCAGGGCUCAACCCUGGAACUGCCUUUGAUACUGUCGAUCUGGAGUAUGGAAGAGGCGAGUGGAAUUCCGAGUGUAGAGGUGAAAUUCGUAGAUAUUCGGAGGAACACCAGUGGCGAAGGCGGCUCACUGGUCCAUUACUGACGCUGAGGUGCGAAAGCGUGGGGAGCAAACAGG
rnacentral:rRNA from 1 species